rnacentral:tRNA from 1 species
UGGGCGGUAGCUCAGCAGGUUAGAGCAGCUGACUGUUAAUCAGCAGGUCGUGGGUUCGAAUCCCACCCGCCCAG